UACGAACUGUGCGAACGUUAUUCGGAAUCACUGGGCUUAAAGGGUGCGUAGGCGGCGCGGUAAGUCCGGGUGUGAAAUCGUCCGGGCUUAACUCGGAAAGGUCAACUGAUACUGUGCGACUGAGAGUGCGGAAGGGGCAACCUGGAAUUCUCGGUGUAGCGGUGAAAUGCGUAGAUGAAUCGAGAGGAACACCUGCGGCGAAGGCGGGGUGCUGGGCCGGCACUGACGCUGAGGAGCGAAAGCGUGGGGAGCAAACAGG
rnacentral:rRNA from 1 species